UCCAUGAAUAUUUCUUGACCAAAUGAAUAAACGGACCAGGAUUCAACACCAGGCCUGUCUGACCAGAAUCUCUUUCCUCUACACCCAGGGACCUCCGGCUUGGGAAGACCCUCAGGGUUGAACUCACUCACACCCCAGAUGACCACCUGCUCUUCCCUCUGCCACCUCCUAGGGAAGGGGUUGCGGAGCAUCAACUCACUGUGACAUCACCUGCCCCUGAUACAGGCCCUGAGGCCUCAAAUCGAGGUGACACCUAGAACUUCCUCUCUCCAGGACUCUCUCCCCUGCUGGUGUGGGAAGCACUCCAGGCACAUCAACCACCGGUGUCCCGAGAAGGAUUGAACAAACUCCUUUCUCCUCCGUUAUCACUUCCCCCCGCCCCCACAAUGAAUGUUUGUGCUGAGGACUGAGACCAAUUGUGUCAACGUAACUGCUGGUUCCAGGACACUCUUUCCCCGGAGGAUGAGGGUGUAAAUGAUAAAGAAUGUUACUCAUUGCUUCAGGAAGUUCCUGAAAGCCAGUUAUCCAGGUGACACCAUGAGGCUUGCACAUGUGCAGGGAUCUGCUGUUGCUUCUGAGUGGUGGUUCCCAGAAUCAAACGUCACCCGUGUCAUGUGCACAUGGACUGCUGAAAGACCCAGCAGAUACUGUGUGAUAGCUGGAGCUGGAGCAGCCACCCUGAGGUCUUGUAUCAGCAAGGAUGAAAACAUCACCAACAUCAUAAGGCUGGUGGAAUAGAGAAUGAGAAAGACACGGUGUCUUCGUGGAAGUGGCAGGUAUUAAUGCAGGGAGAAAUACACCCUUAGCUCUUUGUGCCUCUGUUUUUCAUAUGUGUGCUCUUGUGGUAUAAAUGUAUUCCUGAUCAAGUAGAAAAAUAAUGAACACCAAUCAAUCAAUUAAUAAAAUAAUGAUAGGCAAAGAAUCCAACAGUUGUAAACGCUAUGCAGACAAUGAAAAAGGUGUAGGCAGAAAAUGACAGGCAGUCUGCGUUAUAAUAACAGGCUGGAGACACCUAAAUUGCAAGGUGUCUCUGGAACUGCUGUCAGGACUGAAAGAAGGAAUGAGUCUCAGGAGCUGUGUGGGGAACAGCGGAGUCAAGCCCCUGUGGGAAGAGUCUGGCAUGUGUGAGGAUCCCAGAGGACUUGGCAAACCUGAAAGGGGUCCCGGAUUCAAGCCAGUGGAGG